rnacentral:rRNA from 1 species
GAUGAACGCUAGCGGGAGGCCUAACACAUGCAAGCCGAGCGGUAUUGUUUCUUCGGAAAUGAGAGAGCGGCGUACGGUGCGGAACACGUGUGCAACCUGCCUUUAUCUGGGGAUAGCCUUUCGAAAGGAAGAUUAAUACUCCAUAAUAUAUUGAACGGCAUCGUUUAAUAUUGAAAGCUCCGGCGGAUAGAGAUGGGCACGCGCAAGAUUAGCUAGUUGGUGAGGUAACGGCUCACCAAGGCGAUGAUCUUUAGGGGCCUGAGAGGGUGAGUCCCCCACACUGGUACUGAGACACGGACCAGACUCCUACGGGAGCAGCAGUGAGGAAUAUUGGUCAAUGGGUGCAAGCCUGAACCAGCCAUCCCGCGUGAAGACGACUGCCCCUAUGGGUUGUAAACUUCUUUGUAUAGGGAUAAACCUACCCUCGUGAGGUAGCUGAAGGUACUAUACGAAUAAGCACCGGCUAACUCCGUGCCAGCAGCCGCGGUAAU